rnacentral:tRNA from 1 species
GGCUCCUUGGUCUAGCGGUCUAGGACAUCGCCCUUUCACGGCGGCAACACGGGUUCGAGUCCCGUAGGAGUCA